UCCUACGGGUGGCUGCAGUGGGGAAUAUUGGGCAAUGGGCGAAAGCCUGACCCAGCCACGCCGCGUGAGUGAUGAAGGCCUUCGGGUUGUAAAGCUCUGUGGGAAGGGGCGAAAAACUCAGACCUAAUACGUCUGAGGUUGACGGUACCUUCUUAGCAAGCACCGGCUAACUCUGUGCCAGCAGCCGCGGUAAGACAGAGGGUGCAAACGUUGCUCGGAUUUACUGGGCGUAAAGCGCGUGUAGGCGGGCGAAUAAGUCGGGUGUGAAAUCCCUGGGCUCAACCUAGGAACUGCAUCCGAAACUGUUCACCUGGAGUGAUGGAGAGGAAGGCGGAAUUCCCGGUGUAGAGGUGAAAUUCGUAGAUAUCGGGAGGAACACCAGUGGCGAAGGCGGCCUUCUGGACAUUUACUGACGCUGAGACGCGAAAGCGUGGGGAGCAAACAGGAUUAGAUACCCCGGUAGUCC
rnacentral:rRNA from 1 species